UACGUAGGGUGCGAGCGUUAAUCGGAAUUACUGGGCGUAAAGCGUGCGCAGGCGGUUUUGUAAGCCAGAUGUGAAAUCCCCGGGCUUAACCUGGGAAUGGCAUUUGGGACUGCAAGGCUAGAGUGUGGCAGAGGAGACUGGAAUUCCUGGUGUAGCAGUGAAAUGCGUAGAUAUCAGGAGGAAUACCGAUGGCGAAGGCAGGUCUCUGGGCUAAUACUGACGCUCAUGCACGAAAGCGUGGGGAGCAAACAGG
rnacentral:rRNA from 1 species